CUAAGAAUAUUCCGCAAUGGGGGGAACCCUGACGGAGCGACGCCGCGUGGACGAUGAAGGCCGGAAGGUUGUAAAGUCCUUUUAUGGCAGAGGAACAAGCGGGGGAGUGGAAAGCCCUCGCGGUGACUGUAGGCCAUGAAUAAGCACGCUAAUUACGUGCCAGCAGCCGCGGUAACACGUAAGUGCGAGCGUUGCUCGGAAUUAUUGGGCGUAAAGGGCAUGUAGGCGGUUAUCUAAGCUUGGUGUGAAAGGCAGGGGCUCAACUCCUGGACUGCAUUGAGAACUGGAUAACUAGAGUUACUGAAGUGAAAUCAGAAUUCCAGGUGUAGGGGUGAAAUCUGUAGAUAUCUGGAAGAAUACCAAUGGCGAAGGCAGGUUUCAGGCAGAUAACUGAC
rnacentral:rRNA from 1 species